rnacentral:rRNA from 1 species
AGGGUAAACGCUGGCGGCGUGCCUAAAACAUGCAAGUCGCACGGCAUCUUCGGAUGCAGUGGCAGACGGCUGAGUAACGCGUGGGUGACAUACCCAUUGGUGGGGAAUAACUGCCCGAAAGGGUGGCUAAUACCGCAUACGGCUGGAGCUUCGUGGCUCUAGAGAAAGCAGUAAUGCGCCGAUGGAAUGGCCCGCGUCCGAUUAGCCAGUUGGUGGGGUAACGGCCUACCAAAGCGACGAUCGGUAGCUGGUCUCAGAGGAUGAUCAGCCAGACUGGGACUGAGACACGGCCCAGACUCCUACGGGAGGCAGCAGUUAGGAAUUUUGGGCAAUGGGCGAAAGCCUGACCCAGCAACGCCGCGUGGGUGACGAAGGCCUUCGGGUUGUAAGCCUUUCUCAGGAGAUGAUGACGGUACCUGAGGAAGAAGCACCGGCUAACUACGUGCCAGCAGCCGC